rnacentral:rRNA from 1 species
CAUUGAAACACCAGUUCCCGUACGAUCACCGAAGUUAAGCAACGUCGUGCCUGGUCAGUAACUAGAUGGCUGACCGCUUGGGAAUAUUAGGUGUUGUAAG